GAAAAGUAAAAUACGAAACUCAAACAAAAGGAAACCAUGUGAGAUUUUGUAUUUUCCCUUGCUUUUCUCCUUUGUUCGUGCCUCUUCGAAUCCUUCGUCACUUUCUUCAU
rnacentral:ribozyme from 1 species